UACAACACGAAGAACCAGACAACAAGCAGGAACAUAUUAGCUGUUGUGUGGGUAAUAAUAAGUGUGUUUUUCUUUCUACAGUCUUUGGAAAGUACUCGCCGCAUGCUGCAGCUGGUCGAAGAGAGUAAAGAUGCUGGUAUCAGAACUUUGGUUAUGCUGGAUGAACAGGGAGAGCAACUGGAACGCAUCGAAGAGGGAAUGGAUCAGAUCAAUAAGGACAUGAAAGAAGCAGAAAAGAAUUUGACGGAUCUAGGAAAUCUCUGUGGUCUAUGUCCAUGUCCAUGUAACAAGUAGGUGAUGCCUGUCGCCUGCCUGCCUGCUUGCCUGCCUGAACCCGACAAAUAGGAAAAAAACGCAUGUGGCCAGUUUGCACGCUCGCUCUUGCUCGCUCCGUAGCUGCCACUUCCCCCAACUGCGCUCUACCUGGACUACGUCUCUGCGCAUGGGGAUGGUGGUAGAGCUAAGUCCGUCUGCGACUCCACUGGUUAACCCAUAGUUGUAGCUGUAGGCCCUGCUCUCUGCCGGCUGAAUGCGCAAAUAUGCUGGGCUCUAUGCUUCACUGAUCCGUUGGUCAAGGACUGUUGUUCGUAAAUGUUAAGUGCCUGCUUAAUAUGCAUGUGCUCCUUUUUGAAAUGCAAGCUUUACACACUCUUUGAAUGAACUUUGCGGACCGCAGAUUAAAUUCACGCUUUAUUUACUUGAGGCUGGCAAAGCUGGCUUCUUACAAAAGGGUUUCCUGAAAGGCAAAGCAUGUCACUGCAUGUGGAUAACAUGGUGGAAAAUGACAUCUUGGCAAUGUAAACGGCCUGUGUAAUUGAUUAUAGUACAGCUGAUUAGCUAAUUAUGUAUUAUUCGUGCCUUAAAGGUGCACUAAGUCAUUUUGCAUUCUGCUCAAGUCUACAAAAUGUGAUCGAUUAAGUGGUGCUCCAAGAACGAUCAUAUACUGUCCAAUAGCACUGGGACAUUUCUUUGUGUGUAUCCUCAAUGUUCGUGUGUUAAACAGACUAUUGGAUAGUACGUUUUUUCAGUGACUCGUCUUAAUUUUAGCAAUAGUGCGUUUUUUUUCAGUGACUCGUCUUAAUUCAGCAAUUUUAUUUCAGAAAGAGACUGUGUGUGAGUCACUGAAUAAUUCUUUUAUGGGUUAUGGAACACUGAUUAAUUUAGGGUCAAUAAAAUGGCUUUUUUAAACAAUUCAUUGAUUUGUUCAGGAAGGAAACAAGUGGUUAAAAGUGAGUCACUGAAUCAUUUUCUCAGCUGAUUUGUUCAAAAUCACUGAUUCAUUCAGGAAGAAAAACAAGUGAGUAUCUGUGAUUCACAUCAUAUCAUAUACUGAAAUGAUUUGAGAGUCACUUAAUUGUUGGUUAAUUAAAAAAAAAGAUUAAUCCAGCAUCUAAACUAGGAUUGUCUUUGAGUAGUCCUCAUUUAUUUAACUAAGCAAUUGAUCCAUUCAAAAACACUGGUUUAAUCCAAAAAGAAGCAACUGACUAUCACUAUCAGAAAGCCAGUGCUACUGCAGGAUCUUGCAGAACUGUAGGGCUUCAAACAUG